AUUGAACGCUGGCGGCAUGCCUUACACAUGCAAGUCGAACGGCAGCACGGGUGCUUGCUCCUGGUGGCGAGUGGCGAACGGGUGAGUAAUACAUCGGAACAUGUCCUGUAGUGGGGGAUAGCCCGGCGAAAGCCGGAUUAAUACCGCAUACGAACUACGGAUGAAAGCGGGGGACCUUCGGGCCUCGCGCUAUCGGGUUGGCCGAUGGCUGAUUAGCUAGUUGGUGGGGUAAAGGCCUACCAAGGCGACGAUCAGUAGCUGGUCUGAGAGGACGACCAGCCACACUGGAACUGAGACACGGCCCAGACUCCUACGGGAGGCAGCAGUGGGGAAUUUUGGACAAUGGGCGAAAGCCUGAUCCAGCAAUGCCGCGUGUGUGAAGAAGGCCUUCGGGUUGUAAAGCACUUUUGUCCGGAAAGAAAUCCUUGGCCCUAAUACGGUCGGGGGAUGACGGUACCGGAAGAAUAAGCACCGGCUAACUACGUG
rnacentral:rRNA from 1 species